rnacentral:lncRNA from 1 species
AUGGAAGUUAUAAAGGGCUCUGGGGUGUUUUGCCAGGCAGAAGCGUGGAAAGCAGCCCGCCUUGCCCCCUCUGCUACUGCCAUGGUGCGGAAUCUCCUGCUGGGCACCUUUGAUUUGGAGACUUUGCUGAAAAGCAACCUGAAUGGUGGGAAGCCAACCAGAGGGGAUGGGGAGCAGCUGGUCGCACUUGACCAAAUUAAAAAGGCAGCCAUUAUUGGUGAGUAAAUGCAUAAUGCAUUGAGAAGGGAAAACCAAACUUUUAAGACUUUAUAAGUUCACCACUUUAACCAUAGCCUACUUGUAUCAAUAUUUAUUAGGCAUCAAUGGAGACUGCAUAAAGUAGGGCACCAAUUAUUGUUACUGUAUCUGCUUGGCACCUUUAAUACUAAUUCAUCGCUUUCUGACUUCUUGAUCCUACCUUUCCUCUUCUAAAGCCACAUUGCUGGGGUAUUGCGCUGUAAGGUGUGUAGUCCUCUAUUUUGUAGAACAUAUAGUGUUGCAAAUAACCUCAUGGCAUAUUGUUGUCGUCUGAAGUGUUCUUAAAUAAUCAUAUUCACCCCUCCUUCACCUUAAUCCCCUCUGUCCUGUGUUUGUGCCUUAUUUUGUCUAUACCGGUUAUUGAUUUGCUUGAUUUUAUUGCUUGAUCUUAUUGCUCUUCGAGUAAACCUAGCAUGGCAGCUCGCGGGUGGAAUGUGUGUGUGAAUGGGUCAAUGGGAGGACAUUGUAAUGUAUUUUGGGGGUGCAGGAAAAUGCUAUAAAAGUGCAGCCCAUUGACAACUAGAUAUGUUUACAUGUGCAAAGUUUCUUACAUCAGAUAAAAUAUUUGAGGGAUUAGAAUAUCUGAAUCUGUUUACAUGGAAACAAAUAAUCUAAUCAUGACGUGCAUAAACAUGCACCAAGCCUUAUUCAGAAUAAUAGCAUUUUGACAUCCGCAGAGCGGUCUUAAUUUCCCUAAAACAACUGCAGAAGUUGUACUUCACCUGUGUUUUAAGCUAAACAAAAAACUCGGGAGUGGCAACAUUUUUCCUAUCCAUGAAUUUUCUCUGCUUUGGAUGCACAUGAUUGACUGUGUGACUGUUAACAAUGCAGUUCCCAUGACGGACGUGUGCAUAUGAAAGAACAAUGCCCCCCCCAAAAAAGGGGGGGUGAUGUUUCCAAUCAGAAUUUCUUUCAGAUUUAGCAGAAUCCAAUCAGAAUCUUCCAAUUGACGUGUUUACAUGACACAUUUUUUAUUAUGGUCAGCCCUUUAUCCAAAAUAUGUCUCCAGUCGCAGCUGUACUGUAAGCACUUUGGGUUCCUGAUGAAGCACUAUAUUAUUAUUAUACUGUCUAAUUAUUUUUGUCUUCUCUAGAUGCUACAUUGAAGAAGUGGCCGGCAGCCAGCCGAGGGCAGAUAGGCACAUCUAUCAAUUCAAAGCUCACGGAGCUGAGAAGAUCAACAAGAUAAAU